rnacentral:rRNA from 1 species
AUUGAACGCUGGCGGCAUGCCUUACACAUGCAAGUCGAACGGCAGCACGGGUGCUUGCACCUGGUGGCGAGUGGCGAACGGGUGAGUAAUACAUCGGAACAUGUCCUGAAGUGGGGGAUAGCCCGGCGAAAGCCGGAUUAAUACCGCAUACGAUCUACGGAUGAAAGCGGGGGACCUUCGGGCCUCGCGCUAUAGGGUUGGCCGAUGGCUGAUUAGCUAGUUGGUGGGGUAAAGGCCUACCAAGGCGACGAUCAGUAGCUGGUCUGAGAGGACGACCAGCCACACUGGGACUGAGACACGGCCCAGACUCCUACGGGAGGCAGCAGUGGGGAAUUUUGGACAAUGGGCGAAAGCCUGAUCCAGCAAUGCCGCGUGUGUGAAGAAGGCCUUCGGGUUGUAAAGCACUUUUGUCCGGAAAGAAAUCCUUGGCCCUAAUACGGUCGGGGGAUGACGGUACCGGAAGAAUAAGCACCGGCUAACUACGUG